rnacentral:lncRNA from 1 species
UUACACCAAUUCAGCAAAAAUUCUAGUUUUAGGUGUAAUGUGAUCUAACCGUCAAAGCCACGACUUACAAGGGUAUAUAAAGACUCAUGGACGUCCAACAUAGGUUUGGAGUCGAAUGUGACGAGUAUACAGUUUGGAAAGCACACAAAUCAAGCUUUCGAAAUUGUAUUUAUAUGCCUUACUUGAAGCACGUGUAUGGAUUCUGCUCUUAGUACAAUUUCGGACCUCUUUGCAGUCAAUCCGAAUAUGGUGUAGGAUUGCUGCUCUUUAUGUGGUGCGCCUACCCCUCCCCUAUCCACCCUCGCGCACUUGCUAAUGUUAGACUUUAGUAGGUGUUCUUCUUUCUGUAAUUCUUCAUCUCCAUUUGCCAAGCUUGUCUCCUCUUCAAAUCUGAGUUCUUCUUUCCGCAAUUCUUCAUCUCCACGUGCUAAGCUUGUCUCCUCUUCAAAUCUGAUCAUACGCACUUAGGCAGCUAAUUAACACAAAUAAUAGAUUUAACAAAGAGUGUUAUUCACAUUUUGUUCUAGUAGCUUUUGCACGCGCUCUUGUAAUUGGUACAAUUUUCAUUUCAUUGGACUUGUCUUGUGCAACAACAUCUAUCAAUGAAAAAGUACAGUAGAGGACUAGGAAUGUCGUCACCUUUACCACCGAGAAGACCAACCACUCCCUCUUCUCCUCUGCCACCAACAACCUCCUUAUCAUCUGCUAAACCUUGCUUGUCAUGGACAAGAAGAAUGACGAGGCAACAACCCAG